UACGUAGGGUGCGAGCGUUAAUCGGAAUUACUGGGCGUAAAGCGUGCGUAGACGGUUAUGUAAGUCAGAUGUGAAAGCCCCGGGCUUAACCUGGGAAUGGCAUUUGAGACUGCAUAGCUAGGGUGCGGAAGAGGGAUGCGGAAUUCCAGGUGUAGCGGUGAAAUGCGUAGAUAUCUGGAGGAACACCGGUGGCGAAGGCGGCAUCCUGGACCAACACUGACGCUGAGGAGCGAAAGCCAGGGGAGCAAACGGG
rnacentral:rRNA from 1 species